AUUGCAGGCUGCAACUCGCCUGCAUGAAGUCGGAAUUGCUAAUAAUCGCAGAUCAGCAUGCUGCGGUGAAUACGUUCCCGGGCCUUGUACACACCGCCCGUCACACCAUGGGAGUCGGUAACACCCGAAGUCGGUAGCCUAACCGUAAGGAGGGCGCCGCCGAAGGUGGGAUUGAUGACUGGGGUGAAGUCGUAACAAGGUACC
rnacentral:rRNA from 1 species